rnacentral:rRNA from 1 species
GAUGAACGCUGGCGGCGUGCCUAAUACAUGCAAGUCGAGCGAACAGACGAGGAGCUUGCUCCUCUGACGUUAGCGGCGGACGGGUGAGUAACACGUGGAUAACCUACCUAUAAGACUGGGAUAACUUCGGGAAACCGGAGCUAAUACCGGAUAAUAUAUUGAACCGCAUGGUUCAAUAGUGAAAGACGGUUUUGCUGUCACUUAUAGAUGGAUCCGCGCCGCAUUAGCUAGUUGGUAAGGUAACGGCUUACCAAGGCAACGAUGCGUAGCCGACCUGAGAGAGUGAUCGGCCACACUGGAACUGAGACACGGUCCAGACUCCUACGGGAGGCAGCAGUAGGGAAUCUUCCGCAAUGGGCGAAAGCCUGACGGAGCAACGCCGCGUGAGUGAUGAAGGUCUUCGGAUCGUAAAACUCUGUUAUUAGGGAAGAACAAAUGUGUAAGUAACUAUGCACGUCUUGACGGUACCGAAUCAGAAAGCCACGGCUAACUACGU